GUAAGUAGCUCAGUUGGUGAGAGCAUGGUGCUAAUAACACCAAGGUUGUGGUUUCAAUCCUCAUACA
rnacentral:tRNA from 1 species